GACGAACGCUGGCGGCGUGCUUAACACAUGCAAGUCGAACGGAAAGGCCCUUCGGGGUACUCGAGUGGCGAACGGGUGAGUAACACGUGGGUGAUCUGCCCUGCACUUUGGGAUAAGCCUGGGAAACUGGGUCUAAUACCGAAUAGGACCACGCGCUUCAUGGUGUGUGGUGGAAAGCUUUUGCGGUGUGGGAUGGGCCCGCGGCCUAUCAGCUUGUUGGUGGGGUAAUGGCCUACCAAGGCGACGACGGGUAGCCGGCCUGAGAGGGUGACCGGCCACACUGGGACUGAGAUACGGACCAGACUCCUACGGGAGGCAGCAGUGGGGAAUAUUGCACAAUGGGCGCAAGCCUGAUGCAGCGACGCCGCGUGAGGGAUGACGGCCUUCGGGUUGUAAACCCCUUUCAAUAGGGACGAAGCGCAAGUGACGGUACCUAUAGAAGAAGCACCGGCCAACUACGUG
rnacentral:rRNA from 1 species